AGAAACGAACAACUCGUCCAGUACCUUCUAAAUCCGAAAAUACUGGCAGAGAGACUUCUGAGAUCUGGAAUCAUUUCUCCAAGUUUACUGCUAAAGGAGGUAAAAUGUAGAGCUAAAUGUCAUUAUUGUCCUAAAACCUUUGAUUCUGAGAGCAAGAAUGGGACUACUACAUUAUGGACACAUUUAAAUGAGACAUGUCACAAG
rnacentral:lncRNA from 1 species